rnacentral:snRNA from 1 species
UUGCUUCAGCAGCACAUAUUCUAAAAUUGGAACAAUACAGAGAAGAUUAGCACAGCCCCUGUGCAAGGAUGACAUACAAAUUCAUGAAGUAUUCCAUAUUUUU